UUAUAAUUCUUUUCUACUGAACUCACAACCUUUCGAUAAAUAGUGACUGAAAACUUCCAUACAUCAUCAAUCUUUCACAACAAUUGAUAAACAAUGAUCCAUAAAUAACUUUGUAAAUCAAACAUUGAUUCAUUAAAUCGAUUCUCUUCACUAGAAUCAACACUAACACAAAAAAAAUAAAAAAACUAAGAAGAAGAGAUAGCACUAAGCUUAUCCCGACUCAGUACUAUCGCAAUCUGGCAUUUUCUUC
rnacentral:lncRNA from 1 species